GGUCACAAGCGUUAUCCGGAAUUAUUGGGCGUAAAGCGUUCGUAGGCGGUUUGUUAAGUCUGGAGUUAAAGACUGGGGCUCAACCCCAGCCCGCUCUGGAUACUGGCUGACUAGAGUUACAUAGAGGUAAGUGGAAUUCUUAGUGGAGCGGUGGAAUGCGUAGAUAUUAGGAAGAACACCAAUGGCGAAGGCAGCUUACUGGAUGUACACUGACGCUCAGGGACGAAAGCGUGGGGAGCAAACAGGAUUAGAUACCCUGGUAGUCCACGCCGUAAACGAUGAUCAUUAGCCGCUAGAAUAUUUAGUGGCGCAGCUAACGCAUUAAAUGAUCCGCCUGAGUAGUAUGCUCGCAAGAGUGAAACUUAAAGGAAUUGACGGGGACCCGCACAAGCGGUGGAGCAUGUGGUUUAAUUUGAAGAUACGCGUAGAACCUUACCCACUCUUGACAUCUUCCGCAAUACUAUGGAGACAUAGUGGAGGUUAACGGAAUGACAGAUGGUGCAUGGUUGUCGUCAGCUCGUGCCGUGAGGUGUUAGGUUAAGUCCUGCAACGAGCGCAACCCCUGUCUUUAGUUACUAACGGGUAAUGCCGAGGACUCUAAAGAGACUGACUGGGUAACCAGUAGGAAGGUGGGGACGACGUCAAAUCAUCAUGCCUCUUACGAGUGGGGCAACACACGUGCUACAAUGGACGGUACAAAGAGAAGCAAUAUGGUGACAUGGAGCAAACCUCAAAAAACCGUUCUCAGUUCGGAUUGAAGUCUGAAACUCGACUUCAUGAAGCUGGAAUCGCUAGUAAUCGUAGAUCAGCUACGCUACGGUGAAUACGUUCUCGGGUCUUGUACACACCGCCC
rnacentral:rRNA from 1 species